AUCACAGUUGGAUUUCUUUAUUUGAUUAUUUUUGGUGUGUUUACAACCGAAUUAUAUUCAGGUGUAAAAUUUUGCCUUUAUCUUUUCUCUCACAUCACAGAUCCAUGGCAGGGUGAAAGUGUCUUUCAGAUUGGUACACUUCGAGAACAACGGUCACAUAGAACUUGAUGGGGGGUGUUGCGACUUCUUUUGUGGUCGUUGCGACAACAAAUUUAGUCUCUGCUUCGAUGUCUAUGGAGGGAAUUACGGUAUGAACCAUUGUCCUUAUGGCAAGUUUCAAACGGACCUACUCUAUAAACACGACGAUAAUUUCAACUUCCCAUCAUCUCUAGCCAGCAAUCUAGACAACCCAAUUGUAUUGACAAUCAAUUCAUGGUCGAAAGGAUUCAAAUCCAAGAUUGAAGUUUGGGAUUAUGAUCCAGCUAAUGCAAACGACAAGAUAGAUUAUUACAGCUACAAUCACCCAUAUACCCCCGUCGAACAUCAUUCUUGGCGAGAGAACACCCCGUGAUACUGAAUGGAGCAGGAGAAUCUCUAACGAGGGUUGCAGUGAAGGUUUACUGCGAUGUGAAUUACUACGGAACGUCUUCAGGCUGUAGCACAUAUUGUUCAGCGAGAGACAACGAUGGAGGCCACUAUGAUUGUAAUGAUAUUACAGGAGCUAGGGUUUGUCACUCAGGAUGGCAGGGAUCUAAUUGC